CAAGUACUCCCUCCGUCCGAAAAAGCUUGUCCUUCAAAUAGAUGUAUCUAGCACCAAAUUAGUGCUAGGUACAUUCAUUCGAAAGAUUGAAGGACAAGCUUUUUGGGACGGAGGGAGUAGUAA
rfam:Triticum aestivum genome assembly, contig: Triticum_aestivum_CS42_TGACv1_scaffold_621870_7DS